rnacentral:rRNA from 1 species
GCACCACAAGAACGCGUGGAGCAUGUGGCUUAAUUUGACUCAACGCGGGAAAUCUUACCGGGUCCGGACACACUGAGGAUUGACAGGCAAUAUCUCAUGUUAACGGUAAGUUUACUUACCGCUUAACAUCAGUGUUAAAUAUGCUAGUCCUUUCAUGAUUAUGUGAUAGGUGGUGCAUGGCCGUUCUUAGUUCGUGGAGUGAUCUGUCUGCUUAAUUGCGUUUCAC